rnacentral:snoRNA from 1 species
CUGCUGCCAAUUAAGCCAACUGUGCUCUUUUUCCCCGUGGGAGCCCAGUGUGCAGUGGCUGCCAACAGCAGCCUCCUCGGCAGUAUAUGCAGCCUGUUGCUUGUGUGGGUUGCCCUAAGGGAACUUGGAGACAGGC